rnacentral:snoRNA from 1 species
UACAGUUUGCCAACACUCUGGUGCCUAAUCAAAGUUAAAAACACUUUGGAUCUAUAUUAGGUUCCUAUUUUGGUGCAAACAAGAUAAAUUUUUUUAGCUAAUUUACUCACCAAGAUAUACUGAUUUUUAUAAUCAAUGCUUCGGUUUUGAUUCACAAGAUGGUUAUAUUGGUCCAUUUCAAUAGCUUACAU